GUGCACCAGGCGAGAAACCUCCGCAAUGCGGGAAACCGCGACGGGGGACCCCGAGUGCCGUGGCAACGCCACGGCUUUUCCGGAGUGUAAAAAGCUCCGGGAAUAAGGGCUGGGCAAGGCCGGUGGCAGCCGCCGCGGUAAUACCGGCGGCCCGAGUGGUGGCCGCUAUUAUUGGGCCUAAAGCGUCCGUAGCCGGGCCCGUAAGUCCCUGGCGAAAUCCCACGGCUCAACCGUGGGGCUUGCUGGGGAUACUGCGGGUCUUGGGACCGGGAGAGGCGGGGGGUACCCCUGGGGGUAGGGGUGAAAUCCUAUAAUCCCCAGGGGGACCGCCAGAGGCGAAGGCGCCCCGCUGGAACGGGUCCGACGGUGAGGGACGAAGGCCAGGGGGAGCAAACC
rnacentral:rRNA from 1 species